UACAUGUUGCCGUGUGUCAGGAUCAGAACC
rnacentral:piRNA from 1 species